GACGAACGCUGGCGGCGUGCCUAAUACAUGCAAGUCGAACGCACUGGGGACGGGUGAGUAACACCUGGGUAACCUCCCAUCAGAGGGGAUAACACUUGGCAACAGGUGCUAAACCGCAAACUGAUGGAUGGACCCGCGGUGCAUUAGCUAGUUGGUGAGGUAACGGCUCACCAAGGCCACGAUGCAUAGCCGACCUGAGAGGGUGAUCGGCCACACUGGGACUGAGACACGGCCCAGACUCCUACGGGAGGCAGCAGUAGGGAAUCUUCGGCAAUGGACGAAAGUCUGACCGAGCAACGCCGCGUGAGUGAAGAAGGUGUUCGGAUCGUAAAACUCUGUUGGUAGAGAAGCGUUAUCUAACCAGAAAGCCACGGCUAACUACGUGCCAGCAGCCGCGGUAAUUC
rnacentral:rRNA from 1 species